GCAUUGUCUCCACUGUCAUAUCGUCGAGCAAAGACUGGUCCAGGAGCGCAGAAACAUGCUUCAAGAAAAAGCUUAUGUCCAUAAUUCUUCAAGUCUGCAUAUGACUGCAUCAUUCUUCAGCCUUCUAGACUCCUUCCACUUCUGCCCCCUCGGAUACAAGGACUUCCCAGACUU